GACGAACGCUGGCGGCGUGCUUAACACAUGCAAGUCGAACGGAAAGGCCCUGCUUUUGUGGGGUGCUCGAGUGGCGAACGGGUGAGUAACACGUGAGUAACCUGCCCUGUACUUUGGGAUAACUUCAGGAAACUGGGGCUAAUACCGGAUAUGAGCUCCUGCUGCAUGGUGUGGGUUGGAAAUUUUCGGCGGUUGGGGAUGGACUCGCGGCUUAUCAUCUUGUUGGUGGGGUAGUGGGUUACCAAGGCUUUGACGGGGAGCCGGCCUGAGAGGGUGAACGGCGACAUUGGGACUGAGAUACGGGCCAGACACCUACGGGGGGGAGCAGGGGGGAAUAUUGCGCAAUGGGCGCGGGCCUGAUGCAGCGACGCCCCGUGGGGGAGGACGGCCUUCGGGGUGUAAACUCCGUUCGCAAUCGACGAAGACUGUGGGUGACGGUAGGGUGAAAAGAAGCACCGGCUAACUACGUG
rnacentral:rRNA from 1 species